rnacentral:tRNA from 3 species
GGUCCUGUAGCUCAGUCGGUUAGAGCAGUGAACUCAUAAUUCAUUGGUCAUUGGUUCAAACCCAAUCAGGAUCACCA